CGCUGGCGGCGCGCUUAAUACAUGCAAGUCGAACGAGAAGCCAGAGCUUGCUCUGGUGGAAAGUGGCGAACGGGUGAGUAACACGUGAGAAACCUGCCCCAAAGAUUGGGAUAAGCCUUGGAAACGAGGUCUAAUACCAAAUACCUUCCUUUUAACACAUGUUAAAAAGAGAAAUGCUCCGGCGCUUUGGGAUGGUCUCGCGAUCUAUCAGCUUGUUGGUGAGGUAACGGCUCACCAAGGCAUCGACGGAUAGCUGGUCUGAGAGGAUGUCCAGCCACAUUGGAACUGAGACACGGUCCAAACUCCUACGGGAGGCAGCAGUAGGGAAUCUUGCACAAUGAGGGAAACCUUGAUGCAGCGACGCCGCGUGCGGGACGAAGGCCCUAGGGUUGUAAACCGCUUUCAGUAGGGACGAAAGUGACGGUACCUACAGAAGAAGCCCCGGCCAACUAUGUG
rnacentral:rRNA from 1 species